CCACACCUUGAUAUCUUAUAUAUUUCCUAUCUAGAGGCCAAGUUGAAAAGUGACGAAUUCUUGUGAAGCCGAAAAUAUGAGUAUACUGUGCAUGCGGGUAUAUACGGCCAUGAAACGCUACUAAAUUGGACUUGAGAAAUUCAGAUAUUUCUUUGAAAAACGUACAUUGUUUGAUAUUCGAACUAUCCUAAUAACUCAAUAUUUUCAAAAAGUGAAGCAAAAGAUAUACGGAAGCAAGAUGAAAAGCUAUAUGCUGGAAUGAAUGUGGUUUGACGACGUUGGACUGUCGUAUAUGCCCGUACAUAAGUAUUAUGAAGAAGGUUACUGCAAAAAUGGAAAAUCAAAUUUAAAGACGUCCUCAUUAAAUUCAGAUAAAAGGAUUAAAUUAUUUUCGCAUUCAGACGUUCAUACUAGUGCUGUGUGUGUGGAAAUGUAUUUGCCUGCUGCCGCGAGUUGGCAGAAAUCGUGAUCGAAUCAAAGCGCUGCCAUAAAAUUGUGGAAUUCUAACAGCAAUUUGAGUGCAACACGAACAUGGACAACAAACAUGGACAGGCGAUUCGGACUAUUUGGGCGACCUCUUUCACAAUCAAGAUCAUCUCUACAAUGCAUCCCUUCUGAUAAUCUGUGACAUUUUCAUGAACGUUGGAUCCUGCAACCAAGAGAACCUGUUUCGACGCCUUUGUUUAUUAAACAAUUUAAUCUAAAUUUCAUUAAACUUAAAGUAUAUUUCUUAAAAGCUUAAACUCAUCUGCCAGUUCUAGAAACGUAUAAAAUUAACUAAAUUCAGAA